rnacentral:rRNA from 1 species
AUAGAGACUCAGAGCUGCAUAUCAAUAAGCGGAGGAAAAGAAACUAACAAGGAUUCCCUUAGUAACGGCGAGUGAAGCGGGAAGAGCUCAAAUUUGAAAUCUUCAAGGUUCUACCUUGACGAAUUGUAGUUUAUAGAAGUGUUUUCUGUUAGUGGAGUGGCAAAAGUUCUUUGGAAUAGGACAUCAUAGAGGGUGAGAAUCCCGUAUUUGGUCAUUCCUUUCCUAGCGUUGUGAUACACUUUCAACGAGUCGGAUUGUUUGGGAAUGCAGUCCAAAAUGGGUGGUAAAUUUCAUCUAAAGCUAAAUAUUGGCGAGAGACCGAUAGCGAACAAGUACCGUGAGGGAAAGAUGAAAAGAACUUUGAAAAGAGAGUUAAACAGUACGUGAAAUUGUCAAAAGGGAAGCGUUUGACACCAGUGUUGUUUUCUCGGAAAUCAAUUAAAAAUGACCGGAUUUUGUGUUGUAUUGACUUUAUCAGCUUUCUGCACUUUUUUCUUGUCUUUUUUAAUGCACUUUUCGUUUAACAAGUCAACAUCAAUUUCUUUUGUUGUAAAAGGGUCAUUGGAAGGUGGCUUUCAUUUCGGUGAAAGUGUUUAUAGCCUUUGACUUCUGCAAUUGGAGAGAUUGAGGUCUGCAGCGUAGAUCCUUCGGGGUUAGAUACAUUUGUGCUAAGUUAUAGUUUUUCAUAGACAACAUGUUGACUAUGAUUAAUCAUGUAGCUUACUCGCUUAUGCUAUUUUACCUACGCUUAGGAUGUUGAUAGUCACAGCGUGUAC